rnacentral:rRNA from 1 species
AUAAGAUAUCUGGUAUAAUUAAAAAUUUUAAAUCAAUUAACGAAACAUUUUUAAAAUUAGUAAAGGUGAUAGAAAGUUAUUAAAUAAUAUACCCAAGAAAAGUACCGUAAGGGAAUGCAUUUAAUUAGUUAAAAGAAAAAGUUAGAACUUGUACCUUUCGCAUCAUGGUUUAGCUAGAUACUUAUUUUUCUUAAUUUUCUCGAAAUCUAAUGAGUUAUUUUUAUUCAGUGUGUUAGCACUAAAAGAGUAGUUGUGGCAAAAACUUUCUUAGAAAUAAAAAUGGAAAUGAAAUUUUAUUCGUAUUAGAUGAUAGCUAGUUCUUCUAAAAGGCAUAUAAGUGCUCUAAAUUAACUUAAUUUUUAUGAAACCAAAAUAAAAAAAAUUUAAUUUAAUUAAAUUUUUGAGGAUAAGCUCGAAAAUAAAAAUUAUAUUUGCAUCGUAUUUUUAUUAAAAUUUAGGCUUGAAAGUAGCCAUUAUUUUGAGUUUGUUACAACUUCAUUAAUAAAUUAAAAAGAUAAUUAAUUUGCUUUUAUUAAAAGAAGAAAACUCAAUAACCAAAUUGAGCUGAAUUAAUGCUAAAAUGAGUAUUUAAUUAAUUUUUAUUAUUCUUAAUAAUAUAUAAAUUAAGAUUUAUAAGUUAUUUUUUUAAAAUAAAUCACAAAAAGGAACUCGGCAAAUUUACAUUCUGCCUGUUUAUCAAAAACAUGGCUCCUUGAAAUUUAAUAAUAAGGAGUCGGACCUGCCCAGUGAAUUUUUUCAACGGCCGCGGUACUCUGACCGUGCAAAGGUAGCAUAAUCAUUUGCCUUAUAAUUGAAGGCUAGUAUGAAUGGUUUGACAAGAAUGUAGCUGUCUCUUUGAGAUUAAAUAGAAUUUUAUUUUCAGGUGAAGAAGCCUGUAUUUAAUUAAAAGACAAGAAGACCCUAUCGAGCUUUAAAUAAGUUAAUAGAAUUGAAAUUAAUAUAAAUUAAAAAAUUAUCUAUUAAAAAUUUUAGUUGGGGCGACUAAGGAACAUACAAAGCUUCCUUUACAUAAAUAUUUGAAAUCAUACAAGAAUUGAUCCAAGAAAUUUUGAUUAAAGGAAUUAGUUACCGUAGGGAUAACAGCAUUAUCUUUUUUAAGAGCUCAUAUCGAAAAAAAGGUUUGUGACCUCGAUGUUGGACCAGAAUAUCCUAAAGGUGCAGCAGCCUUUGAGGGUUGGUCUGUUCGACCAUUAAAAUUCUACGUGAUCUGAGUUCAGACCGGCGUGAGCCAGGUCAGUUUCUAUCUUUAAUUAAUAAGGUAAAUUUAGUACGAAAGGACCAAUUUACCAUAAUACCUUAUUUGAUAUUGAUUAAAUAUAAUUGAUAAUUAAAUA